rnacentral:rRNA from 1 species
UGGGGAAUUUUGGACAAUGGGCGCAAGCCUGAUCCAGCAAUGCCGCGUGCAGGAUGAAGGCCUUCGGGUUGUAAACUGCUUUUGUAUGGAACGAAACGGCGAGCUCUAAUACAGUUUGCUAAUGACGGUACCGUAAGAAUAAGCACCGGCUAACUACGUGCCAGCAGCCGCGGUAAUACGUAGGGUGCAAGCGUUAAUCGGAAUUACUGGGCGUAAAGCGUGCGCAGGCGGUUAUGUAAGACAGAUGUGAAAUCCCCGGGCUUAACCUGGGAACUGCAUUUGUGACUGCAUAGCUAGAGUACGGUAGAGGGGGAUGGAAUUCCGCGUGUAGCAGUGAAAUGCGUAGAUAUGCGGAGGAACACCGAUGGCGAAGGCAAUCCCCUGGACCUGUACUGACGCUCAUGCACGAAAGCGUGGGGAGCAAACA